CCUACGGGAGGCAGCAGUGGGGAAUAUUGCACAAUGGGGGAAACCCUGAUGCAGCGACGCCGCGUGAGUGAAGAAGUAAUUCGUUACGUAAAGCUCUAUCAGCAGGGAAGAAAAUGACGGUACCUGAUUAAGAAGCCCCGGCUAACUACGUGCCAGCAGCCGCGGUAAUACGUAGGGGGCAAGCGUUAUCCGGAUUUACUGGGGGUAAAGGGAGCGCAGACGGUGGGCCAAGUCUGGAGUGAAAUGCCGCGGCUCAACUGCGGAACUGCUCUGGAAACUGGGCGACUAGAGUGCGGGAGGGGUAAGCGGAAUUCCUAGUGUAGCGGUGAAAUGCGUAGAUAUUAGGAGGAACACCAGUGGCGAAGGCGGCCUACUGGACAGUAACUGACGUUGAGGCUCGAAAGCGUGGGGAGCAAACAGGAUUAGAUACCCGAGUAGUC
rnacentral:rRNA from 1 species